CUGACGCGCCCACUCGGGGCGUGCACUCGACCUUCCCGGUCCCUUGGCGCAAGGUCAGGGAACAGGGACCAAGGUCCCGGGGCAGACGGCUCGGUCGCGGACCUGGAACGCCCAGCUAGCCCGGACGUCCCCGCUAUCCCUCCUUCCCGCGCUCCCCACCCCCGCCGGCCUCCUCCCCCUGAGCCGCGCGAGUUCGCGCCAGAGUCGCAGUGCUGCCGGGCAUCCAGUGUCCCCGCGCACGGACACCUCCGCCGGCGCGCUGAGAGCAGAAAAGCUAAACUUGUUGCUUCCAAAGGCGAGAGAGCAGUUCUUCUGAAGGUGGCAGAAAGCUUGAAAAGCAUCUCCAAGGCGUCCUCUGGGCUUUACUUGCUAAGCCAGGGGCAGCGCGAGACCCUGUGCUCCGGCUUCGGUAAUGCCGAGGAAGGUCCUGCAUCCAAGACCCAGUCUUGACACUUGUCACAGGCACAGCAGCGGUGGAGACGAGAGUGGAAACGGCCGUGGAGAAGUCCGUGGCCAGAGGAGCCUCGCCGGAGUCCGCAGCGCUGCAGGGCAGGUCCGAAUGGAGCUUGACCCUCUGAACGUGGUAACAUACCGAGGUCAUUUGCAGUGGGAACGUACUACACUGGACGGGUGAAUUCUGACACUGAAGUCCCACAAAUUAAAAUAAAUUGAGAAUGUUUUAAAAUGGUCUUUCA